rnacentral:rRNA from 1 species
UUUAUAUGAGAGUUUGAUCCUGGCUCAGGACGAACGCUGGCGGCGUGCCUAAUACAUGCAAGUCGAACGCACUGACGUCGACCGAAGCUGCUUGCAGUGGACGUUGAUUGACGUGAGUGGCGGACGGGUGAGUAACACGUGGGUAACCUACCCUUAAGUGGGGGAUAACAUUUGGAAACAGAUGCUAAUACCGCAUAACCAUUCAGACCACAUGGUCUGAAUGUAAAAGACGGCCUUUGGCUGUCACUUUUGGACGGACCCGCGGCGUAUUAGUUAGUUGGUAAGGUAACGGCUUACCAAGACAAUGAUACGUAGCCGACCUGAGAGGGUAAUCGGCCACAUUGGGACUGAGACACGGCCCAAACUCCUACGGGAGGCAGCAGUAGGGAAUCUUCCACAAUGGACGAAAGUCUGAUGGAGCAACGCCGCGUGAGUGAAGAAGGGUUUCGGCUCGUAAAACUCUGUUGUUAAAGAAGAACAUAUCUGAGAGUAACUGUUCAGGUAUUGACGGUAUUUAACCAGAAAGCCACGGCUAACUACGUGCCAGCAGCCGCGGUAAUACGUAGGUGGCAAGCGUUGUCCGGAUUUAUUGGGCGUAAAGCGAGCGCAGGCGGUUUUUUAAGUCUGAUGU